rnacentral:rRNA from 1 species
UACGUAGGGUGCAAGCGUUGUCCGGAAUUAUUGGGCGUAAAGAGCUCGUAGGCGGUCUGUCGCGUCUGCUGUGAAAACUCGGGGCUCAACUCCGAGCUUGCAGUCGAUACGGGCAGGCUAGAGUUCGGCAGGGGGAGACUGGAAUUCCUGGUGUAGCGGUGAAAUGCGCAGAUAUCGGGAGGAACACCAGUGGCGAAGGCGAUCACCUGGGGUUGUUCUGACGCUGAGGAGCGAAAGCUAGGGGAGCAAACGGGG